UGAGGAAUAUUGGUCAAUGGGCGCAAGCCUGAACCAGCCAUCCCGCGUGCAGGAAGACGGCCCUCUGGGUUGUAAACUGCUUUUCCAGGGAGAGAAACUUGCGUACGCGUUGCGCAAUUGACGGUACCCUGGGAAUAAGCAUCGGCUAACUCCGUUCCAGCAGCCGCGGUAAUACGGAGGCUGCGAGCGUUAUCCGUUAUCAUUGGGUGUAAAGGGUGCGUAGGCGGACUAUUAAGUCAGUGGUGAAAUCCUGUGGCUUAACUGCAGAACUGC
rnacentral:rRNA from 1 species